rnacentral:tRNA from 1 species
GCCCUCGUGGUGGAAUUGGUAGACACGCUGGUCUUAGGAACCAGUAGCGCAAGCUGUUCCGGUUCGAGUCCGGACGAGGGCACCA